rnacentral:rRNA from 1 species
UACGAAGGGUGCUAGCGUUGUUCGGAAUUACUGGGCGUAAAGCGUAGGUAGGCGGUCUACCAAGUCAGAGGUGAAAUCCCGGAGCUCAACUCCGGAAUUGCCUUUGAAACUGGUAGGCUAGAGAAUGUUAGAGGCAAGUGGAAUUCCUAGUGUAGGAGUGAAAUCCGUAGAUAGUUAGGAGGAACAUCAAUGGCGAAGGCAGCUUGCUGGGGACAUUACUGACGCUGAGCUACGAAAGCGUGGGGAGCAAACAGG